CUUAUUAUUGAUGGACUGGACGUUUCUCAUGUGUCUCUAAGCGCCCUGCGUCAACGGAUGUCAAUCAUUCCACAGGACCCAGUUCUAUUUACUGGAACAAUCAGGAAAAACCUGGACCCAACUGGCAAGAUGGCAGAUGGGGAUUUGUGGGAGGCACUGCAGAUAGCCCAGGUCAAAGGAUUGGUGUCGGACCUAGGUGGAUUAGAUUUUCAGGUGUCUGAAGGGG